CCGAGUGGCCCAAGUCCGCAAGGACCGGUUACCCGACCUCUUGUCAUUUGCUCUGGGGUUGCCGGCAAGGUUCGGCCCGCACCUCCCCCGUGUGGGGUCGGGCGGGUCGCGCCGAACCGACGGCCUCAGCUUCGAUAACUUCGGCGGAAGUGGUAGGUUCGACCUGCCCGCCGCCGGCCGUAUUCAACCUGCAAGUAAUUUUGAAGUCUGAUUUGAAUCAUAAUGAAAAGCA
rnacentral:misc_RNA from 1 species